GUUUACCAAUGUUGCCCUGAGGCGGGGUUGUGCUCUAGGUGUUAUUUUGUCUUCUAAAUAAUGUGAUUUUAUCAUUUAAAGGUUUUUGCUUUGUAGGAACAUUAAGCCAUGGUGCUAAGUGACAAAUUGCAAGAAGAGUUCAAGAACAUUGUCCUGAGGAAAUAUGGGUUUAGGGAUCCAGGAAGAGUUUCAGACAAAGACAAUGCAGAG